AUGACGGGGUUGAUAGGCUGCAGGUGUAAGUGUAGCAAUACAUUCAGCCGAGCAGUACUAAUAAAUCAUUGAUUUUUUGUU
rnacentral:rRNA from 1 species